GGAAUAUUGCACAAUGGGCGCAAGCCUGAUGCAGCGACGCCGUGUGGGUGAUGACGGUCUUCGGAUUGUAAAACCCUUUUCUGGUUGACGAGCAAGGACGGUAGACCAGGAAGAAGUGUCGGCUAACUACGUGCCAGCAGCCGCGGUAAAACGUAGGACACGAGCGUUAUCCGGAGUUACUGGGCGUAAAGGGCGUGCAGGCGGCAUGGUAAGUCUGAUGUGAAAGCUCCCGGCUCAACCGGGAGAGGACAUUGGAGACUGCCAAGCUCGAGGCAGAUAGAGGGAUGUAGAAUUCCGGGUGUAGUGGUGAAAUGCGUAGAGAUCCGGAGGAAUACCAGAGGCGAAGGCGGCAUCCUGGGUCUGACCUGACGCUGAGACGCGACAGCAUGGGGAGCGAAC
rnacentral:rRNA from 1 species